rnacentral:lncRNA from 10 species
CAAAAAGUAUUGUUCUAUUGAUUUAAAGGAAACUGUCCUUGACAUUUUCGUGGCUCACUGUGGGGCAGGGGAGGAUGGACCCACUGGCAGAGACUGGACUGAGAAAAGUUGCACAAUUUAAGGUGUCGCUAUGCUAGCAAACUCAGUCAUCAGGCUAACUCUCAGGAGGAUUUGCAGUGGAAGCAAAGCCAGCAUCCCCUCUCCAUUUAUUCUGUUAUCUAGGAGACACUUCAUAAUGCCAAACAGGGGCCAGGGUUGUAGGAUCUCUUCCCUACCAGUGAUCCAUGUAAUACUUUUUUUCUCCAAAAAUUCUAUCCUUUGAAAUAACUUAUCCAAUAAAUAUGCUGCAUAUA